GAAAAGGUUUGUGGGAGCUUAAACCAAAGCAAAAGGCAAAGGUAGAAGAAUUAAGUUUACACCCCCCAUACAUCCCAAAACCGUACACACACAAAAAAGCACUCACCAACCAUUCAUUUUUUCCCAAUUUAUUUUCCUUCUCUCGACCCACGUUCAAAUUUAAUUAAAAUUACAUUACAUUAUUAUGAAUAUAUGUUUGGACAGACAAUCGCAGUGGGACACCCAUUGUGUGCAGAGUUUUGCAGCUUAGCUUCUUGAAAAAAUAACAACACCCUUUUUCAAACAUUCACAUUUUUUUCUUACCUUACGACAAUAAUUCUUCAAUAUUCAUUAUUCAUCUAAUCCAAACCCAACACAACCAAAGAUACACACCAUCACAAACAAACAAACAAACAAACAAACAUGCACCCUCUUCCUUUUCUCAUCUUUUCUUUUUCGCACCCCCCUUCACUCUAAACUAUAUACCAUUAAUUUGUGAUGGUAUCACAAAGGGGGUGUAGUUGGUUUUGCUGGAAGAAGCUGAAGCAGAAGCAAAAUAUGGUGAACUUUGGUCUUGUAGCUUUCACAGUUUAUGAGAUCCAACAAAGUUUUAUUUUUUACUGCAGAUUAAUCCUUGUGGUGCAAAAGGGUCUUCUUAGAUUCUUCUUAUGUCAAGGAAAGAGUACUCAACCAUGGAUUCUGUACUUUUUCUUCUUCUCUUUUGUUUGUUGAUUUUUAUUAUGAUGAUGAUGUUGUUGUUGGUGAUGGUGGUGAUAUUGGCUACACGGCUCAAUCUGUUAGCUUAGUGAUACUGAGGAAAAAAAAAAGAGGAAGGAGACGUUUCUUUGUUGGUUGGAGAGGCAUUGGGUUUCUACAAAAAAUUGCAGUAAAUAGGGAUGCACCUAAUACUGUAGGAUUUUAGUCAGUGAUGCUUUAAAUUUGGAGGGUCCCUUUGAGGUACAGACUACACAGACCCUUCAACAUCCAAACACUGUUUUAUUACCGUUUCAAAAAUUUAUUGUCAGCCUUUGCAUCUGUCUCUUUUACAACAAUUUUCAUUGGGCAACGUGGUGCUUCGUCAUACUAAUAUUUAUUAUUAGGCCUUAAAUGGAAACUCUCUUUAAUAUACUUCACCCGGUUCACUUAUUAUUCACUUUCGAAUUUUAACUAAAUCAUUUCUAUAAUUGUUUGCUUAUUUAUUAUUUUA